rnacentral:lncRNA from 1 species
CCUCUUGUUUCCUGAUGGGCCAACGAAGGAUAUUCACAUUGGCCUUCACUCCUCCUCAUACAGAUAAUUGUUAAUGCCUUCUUCGGCCGCUUCGAUGAAUAACAGUCCCAGGCAAGGGUGUUUGGUACGAUCUCUGCGGUUCUUUCUGACUUUCUUAAGUCUUUCUCGGGCAACUGCCCUUAUGGUCUCCAUCGGGUGGUCGACCUUUAUGCGCUCUAGGGGACGGUAACGGCCUUCUAAUAGCUGUGGCUCGUUCUGUGCCUCGCUUCAUGCCCGGUACUCCUGGUCCCAUGUCUGAGACGUGUCUUCUCCCCGUCUCCCUUCUACAAGUGCACCGCCUUCUGCGGUCGUUGUUAAAAUACUUCUAGAUCGCCACGCCUGUAUUCCUGCAAGCCACUACGGUGGGCUUCUCCAGACGCUGCCUCCUGCACCCUCUUGUGAACCAUACUCCGCGGACCGCCGCGGCGGUUUUGCUACGAGUGCGAUGCCUUCUGUGGUUGCUGUCUACAUGUUCCUACACCAAACGCCUUCGGUUCUGCGUGCCGCCGUGGUGGGCUUCUGAAGCACUGAUUGGGCCGCCACAGCGUUUGUCUACUGGUGCACCGCCUUCCACGGCUGCUGACUACAUGCGCCUAACUAGCAACGCCUUCAGUUCGGCUCGCCGCCGUGGCAGGCUUCCUAAGCGCACUACUUUUCGCAGCCUCUUGUGAUGCGUUUUGUGUCGCAUAUAACGGGCCGCCACAGCGGUUUUUCUACAAGCGCAUCGCCUUUCGUGGUCGCUAUCGACAUGCCCCUAAAUCACCACGCCUUUCGUUUGGUGGGCCGCCACGGCGGGCUUCUUAAGCGUGUUGCCUUCCGCAGCCGCUUGCCAUGUAUUUUGCGCCACACUUUGCGGACCGCCGCAGCAGCUUUCUACAAGCGCACCGCCUUCUGCGGUCACUGUCUAUGUCCUCCUAGGUCACCACACCUUCAGUUCAGCGUGCCGCCUCCUCGGGCUUCCUAAUCGCGUUGCCUUCCGCAGCCGCUAGCCAUGCACUUGGUGCCGCACUUAGCGGACCGCCAACAGCAUCUUUUCCACAAGUGUACCGCCUUCUGUGGCCGCCAUCUAUAUGCUCCCAAAUCACAACGCCUUAGUUCUGCAUGCCGCCGCGGUGGGCUUCCUAAGCGCACUGCCUUCCACAGCCGCUUGUCAUGUAUUUUGUGCCGCACUUUGCGGACCGCGGUCUCUGUCUAUGUCCACCUAGAUCACGACACCUUCAGUUUGGCGUGCCGCCUCGUCAGGCUUCCUAAUCGCGCUGCCUUCUGCAGCCGCUCGUCAUGCAAUUAGUGCCACACUUAGCGUAACUCCACGGCGGCUUUUCUACAAGCGCCCCGCCUUCCGCGGUCGCUGUCUGUAUGCUUCUAAAUCACAAUGUCUUCAGUUCGACGUGCCGCCGUGGCGGGCUUCCUAAGUGCGCUGCCUUCC